UGGGCUUCUCGGCUUUUUGGCUAAGAACAAAGUUUAGUUUCUGUUCUUAUCGAAUUAGCUUCGAUAGAGAUUCGAAUGAGUCUCGUUGAGGUCAUUCGAUUUUUAGGUCCGGACGAGGUCGUGGACUUGUUCAUUUCUCGUCGCGGGUUGCGCAGCGAUCGCCCCACCUCCU
rfam:Necator americanus N_americanus-1.0_Cont14.20, whole genome shotgun sequence.